rnacentral:rRNA from 1 species
CCCUGGCGACGAGUGGCGGACGGGUGAGUAAUGCUUAGGAAUCUGCCCAGUAGUGGGGGACAACCCGAGGAAACUCGGGCUAAUACCGCAUAAGUCCUACGGGAGAAAGCGGGGGACCGAAAGGCCUCGCGCUAUUGGAUGAGCCUAAGUCCGAUUAGCUAGUUGGCGGGGUAAUAGCCCACCAAGGCGAUGAUCGGUAGCUGGUCUGAGAGGAUGAUCAGCCACACUGGGACUGAGACACGGCCCAGACUCCUACGGGAGGCAGCAGUGGGGAAUAUUGGACAAUGGGCGCAAGCCUGAUCCAGCAAUGCCGCGUGUGUGAAGAAGGCCUGCGGGUUGUAAAGCACUUUCGGUUGGGAAGAAAAGACCAGAAUUAAUACUUCUGGGACUUGACACUACCAUCAUAAGAAGCACCGGCUAACUCCGUGCCAGCAGCCGCGGUAAUACGGAGGGUGCGAGCGUUAAUCGGAAUUACUGGGCGUAAAGCGCGCGUAUGUGGUCUUGUA